UGACGCACCAAUUCAGCGCAUUUUCCAGCAGAGAUCAUUGUGAGAUCAUCGAUCGGGAGGAUGACAGCUCGAGUGUAUUGCUCGUUGAUUGCUGUUUUGUUGUGUCUGUCUGGAUCCUUGAGCAUUACAGAUGCAGCUCCAGGAAAGACAACAGCAAAGCCUGGAGAGUGUCCACCCCAAUCAUCUGGAAUAAAAUCGUGUACCACGUCCUGUAACAGUGACACUAACUGUCCCAACAAUGAAAAGUGCUGCAGCAAUGGAUGUGGACGUUACUGUACGGUUCCAUAUAAAGUGAAGCCGGGUCACUGUCCCAAACCGAAGAAGAUUCAAGCAUGUGCUGAAAGCUGUUUCCAUGAUGUCCAGUGUCCUGCCACACAGAAGUGUUGCCCAACCACCU